rnacentral:rRNA from 1 species
GACGAACGCUGGCGGCGUGCUUAACACAUGCAAGUCGAACGGAAAGGCCCUGCUUUUGUGGGGUGCUCGAGUGGCGAACGGGUGAGUAACACGUGAGUAACCUGCCCUUGACUUUGGGAUAACUUCAGGAAACUGGGGCUAAUACCGGAUAGGAGCUCCUGCUGCAUGGUGGGGGUUGGAAAGUUUCGGCGGUUGGGGAUGGACUCGCGGCUUAUCAGCUUGUUGGUGGGGUAGUGGCUUACCAAGGCUUUGACGGGUAGCCGGCCUGAGAGGGUGACCGGCCACAUUGGGACUGGGAUACGGCCCAGACCCCUACGGGAGGCAGCAGGGGGGAAUUUUGCAAAAUGGGCGGAAGCCUGAUGCAGAAACGCCGGGGGGGGGAUGACGGCCUUCGGGUUGUAAACCGCUUUCCCCUGGGACGAAGCGUGGGUGACGGGAAUGGGUAAAGAAGCACCGGCUAACUACGU